GGGUUUUCAACCCACAAUAAAUAAUUAUAUUUAAUUUUCACCAACCAACAAUAACCCAAUUACCCAUUCCCGUUAUUCUCACUUUAUGUCCCUAAGACAACUAACAUAAGGGACCUAGUCUAAGAAUAUUUCAUCGGGGCGACAACACAUGCUUCGGGGGUUCUUCAGCAAUAUAAGUCAAAUAAGGCAACCAUGAGGGGGAUGGAGUACAGCGAAUGAACACCCAAGUUCAUUAACACCUACAGGUGGCGAACCUGCUAAUGUUUCCACAAGACUGUCUAGAAUAGCCAGUGGUCGUCAUCUAAACUCCGCUAGAUGACUCAAUCAAACAACAACGAGGCCUCUCAUCUGUUUAUUACACACCAACUGUCUACCCAUGUUCUACCCAACAUAUUAGUAGAUAAAAAUAUACAUUUGUAUACAUAGUUUAAAGAAAACCUGUAUAGCAUGCUUUAAUCAACACAUAUAUCACAUAACAGAUGAGGCACACACACACAUAACACAUAUCUCAUAAAGAAAUAAGCAGAUCUAUAAGAUAGAAGAGAGUGAAUACUCAUUCACACAUAACACAACCAAAUAUAUACACAUAGCACGUAUUUUUAUAUAAAAUACUUCGUAUUAUUGUAUUAGAAGAAAUAACUACACACUCACUUGAUCAGAAGAUGAUCGGACAGCACUACGGCUUAUAGAAGUAGUAAUCCACAGCAGAUCUGGAAGAUCUUCUCGAAAAUCGAACUUCUCGCGGGCAGAGCUUCGACUCGGGAACCGCACUUUUCGGGAUCUUCAGGAUCUCGGGACUUGCCUCGGGGCUAGAGUAUGAUACCGGGACUUCGGGGUAGCUUCGGGGGUUUUUGCACAGAGCUUCGACACGAAAACGAGAGGGAAUUGGCAAAAAUACCCGGAACCCUCGCAUCCUAUUUAUAGGAGGCUGGAGCCUCGGAGUACGCGGGGCGUACUGCGUUACGCGGGGCGUACUGCCCAAAACGUCAUUGCUUACGUAUCCGAAGUGCUCGAGUGCGAGUGUCGACAUCCCUCGGAGUACGCGGGGCGUACUCGAGUACGCGGGGCGUACCUCGGAUCAGAUCGGUGACUCCUUCGGAUAAUGCUUCCGAAUUUUGAAUUAAAAAUAAAUACAAAAUGAUUAAUAAACUUCGGAAAUUCAUAACUUCUUCAUACGAACUCCGUUUUCGACGUUCUUUAUAUCCACGCGAAGGUGAGACCACGCUCUACGACUUUCGUUUAGACUCCGUCGGCUAAUUUUGACUUUAUUUUUAUUAAUUAUUUUUAAUAGGCCGGGACAGAAACUUUCGUUAUAAAUUCAUAACUUCUUCGUUUGACGUCCGUUCUCGCCUAACUUUUUAUCGUUUCAAUACCAACAAUGAGAUCUUCGAUUCUCAUUUAGAUUGCUUCGGCUAACAACCGCUCGAUCUCAAAUCGAGUAAAACAGGCUGUAUAUCGCUAAGCCGGAACUUCGAUAAAUCAUAACUUCCUCAUACGAAGUCAGAUUUGGGCGUUCUAUAUAUAUUCGGAAACCUCGUUUCAACUACUACAACAUUAACCAAAGAUAUUAAGUUUAUUUUACACUUAAAUUUUGACGCUUAUUUUUAUUCUUAAUUAAUCAAACCACAUAAUUAAGCAAUUAAGCACAAAACACAUAAUACUCAAAUAAUACAAUCUUAUUAUUUCAAAACGGGUUACAAAGGUUAACCUAGACUAUUACAUUGCUAAAAAUGGCAAGCCCGGAAACACAGGCGUUACAAUUCUCUCCACCUUAGAAUGAUUCCGUCCCCGGAAUCACACAUCAACAAACAAAUGCGGAUAGCGACUCAACAUGUCACUCUCCGUCUCCCAGGUGAGAUUCGGCCCAUUCGUGUGUUUCCAUCGGACAAGCACUAACCCAACCAUUUUGCGUCGCAACUUCUUAGUCUUUCGGUCAACAAUUGCCUCUGGUUCUUCAAUCAACCUUUUGUUCUCAUCAAUUCUCAAUUCAGAAAUUGGAAUUAUAUCGGGAACUUCUCCCGUGAACUUCCUCAAAUAACACACAUGAAAGGUGUUGUGAAUUCCAUUCAGUUCUUCGGGUAAUUCGAGCUUGUAAGCUUGAUUCCCAAUCCUCUGAAGGACUUUAAACGGUCCAAUAAACCUUGGACUCAACUUUCCCCUUUUACCAAAUCUUAUAAGUCCCUUCCACGGCGAGACUUUAAGCAAAACCGAAUCUCCAACCUCAAAAGUCAUCGGUCUUCGCUUCUUGUCAGCAUAGCUCUUUUGACGAUCUUGAGCUGCUAACAUUCUUUCCCUAAUUAUUUUCAACUUUUCAGCAGUUUGAUGAACCAUCUCCGGUCCCAUAAACUGCUUUUCCCCAGCCUCAAGCCAACAAGACGGCGUACGACACUUCUGUCCAUACAAAGCUUGAUAAGGUGCCAUCUUAAUGCUCGAGUGAAAACUAUUAUUAUAGGAAAAUUCUACCAACGGUAAAUGUUCAUCCCAAUUACCUAGGAAUUCCAAGGUACAUGCUCUCAGCAUAUCUUCAAGUGUUUGUAUUGUUCUUUCACUCUGACCAUCAGUCUGCGGAUGGUAAGCUGUGCUUAAACAUAACUUGGUACCCAUUUCCUCUUGUAGACUUUUCCAAAACCUUGAGGUGAAACGGCUAUCACGAUCCGAUACAAUCGUUAACGGAACACCGUGAAGCCUCACAAUUUCCUUCACGUAAGAAUUCGCAAGCUUUUCCAUAGACCAUUUCUCCCUGGCCGCUAUGAAAUGCGCACUCUUAGUGAAUCGAUCAACGACCACCCAAAUCAUGUCGUGACCAUUCUUUGUUCUGGGCAGUUUAGUGACAAAAUCCAUAGCAAUGUCUUCCCACUUACCCAUAGGCACAGGCAAUGGUUCUAAACUCCCGUAAGGUUUCUGAUGUUGUGUCUUGACUCUCGCACAAGUCACACACUCGGCCACAUACUUUGCAACAUCAAGCUUCAUCGUCGGCCACCAGUAGUAGGGUUUCAGGUCCCUAUACAUUUUAGUGCUACCCGGAUGAAUUGAGUACAUGGUUUUGUGAGCUUCUUCCAUCAGAAGAUCCCUAAUUCCUCCUGACUUAGGUACCCAAAUACGAUCUUGGAAUACCUUCAGUCCAUGACCGUUAGUACCAAACACCAACGUUUUACCCAAACGUUCCUCCUUUCGGUCAUUUUUCUCAGAAGCUUCCUCUUGAGCUUUCUUUAUACUUUCCACAAUAGUCGAGACAACUUCAAUUCUCAACGCUCUUGGCCUCUUCCUUUCAAGAUUGACUUUCCGACUGAGAGCAUCAGCAACAACAUUAGCUUUACCGGGGUGGUAAAGUAUCUCGCAGUCGUAGUCUUUAAGUAAUUCUAGCCAGCGUCGUUGCCUCAUAUUCAAUUCUUUCUGAUUAAAGAGGUAUUGGAGACUCUUAUGAUCAGUGAAAAGUUUGCACUUCGUGCCAUAGAGGUAAUGCCUCCAUAUUUUCAGAGCGAAAACUACCGCUGCCAACUCCAAAUCAUGAGUCGGGUAAUUCUUUUCAUGCUCUUUCAGCUGUCGAGACGCAUAUGCUAUCACCUUUUCUCUUUGGGUCAAAACACAACCCAAUCCAACACCAGACGCAUCGCUAUAAACAGCGAAGUCUUCAACUCCAUCGGGUAGAGAAAGUAUCGGUGCCUCGCAUAGCUUCUUCUUUAACUUCUCGAAUGCUUCUUUAUGCUUCUCACUCCAAGCAUAAGUAGCUCCUUUGUGGGUCAAAGCUGUUAAUGGAGUAGCAAUCGAAGAAAAGCCUUGGAUAAACCUUCGGUAAUAUCCGGCUAAUCCUAAAAAGCUUCGAAUCUCCGUGGGACUUUUCGGUUGUUCCCACUUCGUCACAGCUUCGAUCUUCGCUGGAUCAACCAUUAUCCCUUCUUGGUUGACCACGUGACCCAAGAAUUGGACCUCACGAAUCCAAAAAUCACAUUUGGAGAACUUCGCAUAAAGCUUCUCCUUCUUCAAAACUUCUAACACUUCUCGCAAGUGUCUGCCAUGCUCCUCCUGGCUUUUCGAGUAGAUCAGAAUGUCGUCUAUGAACACUAUCACGGAUUUAUCAAGGAAAGGAUUACAAACCCUAUUCAUCAAAUCCAUGAACGCUGCUGGAGCAUUGGUUAGUCCAAACGACAUAACCAAGAACUCGUAGUGUCCAUAUCUAGUUCUGAAUGCAGUCUUCUCGAUAUCUUGCUCUCUUACUUUCAGCUGAUGAUAUCCUGACCUAAGAUCGAUCUUCGAGAAAUAGCUCGAACCUUGCAAUUGAUCAAACAGGUCAUCAAUCCUCGGCAACGGAUAUCUAUUCUUUAUUGUUGCCUUGUUCAGCUCUCUGUAAUCGAUGCACAUUCUCAUACUUCCAUCUUUCUUCUUUACAAAUAACACCGGAGCUCCCCAGGGCGAUGAACUAGGUCUAAUGAAACCUUUGUCCAAUAACUCCUGAAGUUGCAUCAUCAGCUCCUUCAUCUCCGUCGGUGCUAAUCGAUAAGGUGCUUUUGCUAUUGGCGUGGUUCCUGGUAACAAGUCUAUUCUGAACUCCACUUGUCUAUCAGGUGGUAAUCCAGGAAGAUCCUCGGGAAAUACUUCCGGAUAAUCACACACCACUGGAAUGCUCUGCAUCACCUUCUUUUCUUUCUUAGCAUCAAUCACGAAUGCUAAAUAUGAUGUACAUCCCUUGGUCAAACACUUUCUGGCUUUCAUUAGAGAAAUGAUUCCAGAAUUCACUCUGCGUUUGUCCCCAUACACCAUAAACGAAUCUUUCCCAGGCGGGUUUACUUUAACUAUCUUCUUCUUGCACAAAAUUUCGGCAUCAUUGGCGCUAAGCCAAUCCAUUCCCAAGACGAUGUCGAAACCAUUUAGUUCGAUAGGCAAUAAUUCCUCGAGAAACUUAUUCCCAUUAAGGUCGAUCAAGACGUUUUUCAUACGAUGGCUAACAGGUACAAACUUGCCACUAGCUACUUCGACUAAUAAAGCAUUAUCUAGUCUAUCAACAGGCAAAGCUAGCUUUCUACCAAACUCAUGCGAAAUAAAGGAGUAGUUGGCUCCAGAAUCAAACAAUAUAUGAGCAGGUAAUUCGUUUACGAGAAAGGUACCUGAAGCGACAUCAGCUUCAUCUUUCGCAGCCUCAAGUGUCAUCUGGAAGGCUCUCGCCUUCGGCUUUGGUGGAAUGUUGGGCCUAGCUGCCUCCUUCUUCUUCGGACAGUCUUUCAAAAUAUGCCCCUCUUCAUUACACCCAAAACACAUCCUUUUGUUGUUCGGACAUUCAUUGGCAAAAUGUCCAACCUUUCCACACUUGUAGCAGGUCACAUCCUCGCUACAUUUCCCAAAGUGCUUUUUCUUACACUUAUCACACCACUUUGCUUCGCCUCCUUUUCCUCCAAACUUUUUCGAAUCAGAUUUCGAAAAUUUGCUCUUCUUACUGGAACCAGAUGUUCCUUCAAACUUCCUUUUCUCACCAACCUCAACCUUGACGGUGGUUCUCCCCUUGAUCAUGUUCUCCACAGACUUGGCAGCCCAGAUAGCUGCCUCUAGAGUAAGUGCCUGACGUACCGGCACCUCGUACUCCCAUGGAAGUCCCUUCGCAUACCGAUCCACCUUUGUCAGCUCGUCUGGAACGAUACGCAAGGCAAACUCCAUCUUAUCGGUGAAGUUAUUGGUGUACUCAUCCACUGACAUGCUACCCUUCGUCAAUGUCAAAAACUUGUUCUCCAACUCCAACAGAUUUUGAGCCGAGCAGAACUUGCGCUUGAACUGCACCAAGAACUCUGCCCAUGACAAUUGCAGUGGCUCAUUAGGGCUUAAGGUCUUCCCUAGAGUGUUCCACCAACGAACGGCUCCACCUCGGAAUUGUCGCACGGCAUAGAUAGUCUGCAACUUGCCUCUACAGCCACAUGUCAUAAAGGCUAACUCCAUUUCGGAGAUCCAAUCCAUAACCCCAAUCGGAUCCUCCUUUCCAUUGAAGGUCGAUGGUUUACAAGUCAAAAAGUCCUUGUACUUGCAUCCCAUUCCAUCAUUCCUUCCAUCAUGGUUAUCUUGCCUAACUAUCGGUGGGUUGGCUGGACCAACAGACCCACUGAAGUUUCCACCUUCCGAGUGCCCUUCAUUCAGUUCAGGCUCUUCCACACGAAUCGACAGUUCUUCACGAUUUUGUUGAAGCAACCGUCUAGUUUCAUCCAUCUGACGAUCCAACAUCGUCUGAAUCAUCAAUUGCACACCAGCCAUGGUUAUUGGCUCAGGUGCUGCUGCUACGACAGGUAUUGGCUCAAUCACUGGUGGUUGAUUCCUGUUUUCGUCAGCAUUUCCAACUCCACUUCUUGUUCUCACCAUUUUGAUCUACACCGAAUAAGGUGAAAUUAGAUCCUCAAUCAUGAUAGAUAUUCAAAUCAUCCUUAUCACUCCGAAACGUUUACAUGCUAGUUCUAAUAUCGUAGACGUACGCUUAGAAUCCUACACACAUAAGGUUUCUAGAUCCGGUCGGCAACAGACCAUAGAUCCGAACAAAUAAUAUCAUAUAUGGCAACAUAUAACAUUUAGCACAUAAAGCAUUUUAGGCAACUUUCCUAAAAUAAACUAGUGCUCGUGUCUAAAUCACAACAGACACACAUCUCAAAACUUCACUUAGCAUUCUAAGUUUAAGUCUAGAAAUCCUACAAAUUCCUAGUUCGCUUAAACUAAUGCUCUGAUACCAACUGUGACAUCCCCAAAAUCUCGGCCAGAAAAGACCGAUUUUCAUUUAUGCUUUUAAAUAUUUUCAGAGUAAAUCCUUUUGAUUUGAAAGAGUUGCGGAAUUUGUUCCCAAAAACAAAACAUGAUAAAACAUUGUUUACCGAAGCAUUUCAUAAAAGAAAUGUAUUUUCAUUAUAAUCAAAACUCGGGGUGUCAUGUUCCGAUACAGACCAAUAAGCAUAAACGAAUACAUUACAAGUCAUAUAACAAAUAUAAACAUAUGCAGACUUGUAAACAAAACAACUUGAUGGUUCAUCCAUCUCAUGCCCUUCCGCCACUUCCUGUAAUACAAUUUAAAACUGAGUGGGUCAGGCUUGGGAGCCUGGUGAGCAUAUAGGGUUUUCAACCCACAAUAAAUAUCAUAUUUAAUUUUCACCAACCAACAAUAACCCAAUUACCCAUUCCCGUUAUUCUCACUUUAAUGUCCCUAAAACAACUAACAUAAGGGACCUAGUCUAAGAAUAUUUCAUCGGGGCGACAACACAUGCUUCGGGGGUACCUCAGCAAUAUAAGUCAAAUAAGGCAACCAUGAGGGGGAUGGAGUACAGCGAAUGAACACCCAAGUUCAUUAACACCUACAGGUGGCGAACCUGCUAAUGUUUCCACAAGACUGUCUAGAAAAGUCCGUGGUCGUCAUCUAAACUCCGCUAGAUGACUAAAUCAAACAACAACGAGGCCUCUCAUCUGUUUAUUACACACCAACUAUCUACCCAUGUUCUACCCAACAUAUUAGUAGAUAAAAAUAUACAUUUUUAUACAUAGAUAAAAACCUGUAUAGCAUGCUUUGAUCAAUACAUAUUCCACAUAACAGAUGAGGCACACACACAUAACACGUAUUUCAUAGAAAACAAAUCAGAUCCAUGAGAUAGAAGAGAGUGAAUAUACAUUCACACAUAUAACACAAAAUAUACACAUAACACGUAUUUCUUAUAAAAUACUUCAUAAUUAUGCGUUAGAAGAAAGUAACCACACACUCACACCUAUAAACAACAAUAUACUUAAUACACUCGAACCAUACUUGUAUUAUUAUCGUGUUUAUGAAAGGUAGUAUACACUCACUUGAUCAGAAGAUGAUCGGACAGCACUACGACUUGCAGAAGUAGUAAUCCUCAGCAGAUCUGGAAGAUCUUCACAAAAAUCGAACUUCUCGCGGGCAGAGCUUCGGCUCGGGAACCGCACUUCUCGGGAUCUUCGGGAUCUCGGGACUUGCUUCGGGGCUCGAGAAUAAUACCGGGGCUUCGGGGUAUUUCUAGCACGCAAAUCGAUGCAAAAC
rnacentral:lncRNA from 1 species